UUAAAGAGGAGUUUGAAGAUCAGUGAAGUAACUUUACCAUUCUUUACAAGGAACCUUUCUGCAGCCUGAGCUACCAGCUGGUAGAUACCAUGAGCUACUCUGCUAAUGACAUCAAGUUGUCUCCCCCUGUGUUUUGGGGGGUUUUUUUAAGGAAGAAAGCAUAAGUAACAUUGACUGAAAAUCCUUAAUGAUGGAAGCAAAGGAAAUGAUAGGCUGGGCGAAGAGCCAUCCAUCCCUGGUGUCUCAUGGUGGCUGUCUGUGAGUGGCCAUGCCCUAGGAGUUCCCUCUUCCGUGCUGCACACGCCUGCCCCUGUGCCGUAGUCCGUAGUCCGUGAGUCCUGGAAGAUGCCGCUGCAGCUGUCUCUGGAGCCAUCUUGCAAACAACCUCUUUUGCAGGGCCCGAGGCAAUGUGCAAUAUUGCUGUGCCAUGAGUCUGGAUGUGGCUGACCCAGAGAGCCUCACAGGAUACAAGAAUUCAACAGGGGGGACACACAGGGGAGAGCAGGAAUGAUUUUUUUAACUGGAACCUCAGCCAAAUGUCAACAGAA